GUGUUGGCUUCGGCAGCACAUACACUAAAAUUGGAAUGAUACAGAUUAGCAUGGAGCUUGUGCAAGGCUGACAUGCAAAUUCUUGAAGUGUUCCAUAUUCCU